AUGAGCGCUUCUUCAUCUUCAUCAUCUCUGAGAAGAACGAUGAAUGUGGGAUCAUCCGUGAGCUGUAACAGGACAGAUGUGUGAUGUCAUUUAUCUAGUUUCUUUGGGGAUAGUGACAAUUAGGUAGUUAUUUUACCACUUAACCGGGUGUGGAUAAUAAUUUUUUUUUUAAUAUUUGCCCCAUCAUGUGCUACGCCGCGAUGAAAAGAAAAACGUUAAAAGGUUUCAAAAACUGAAUAGAUGAAAAGUACGUCACGCGGAGAAGACUUAUUCAUGAAAGGAGAAAAGUAAAAGAAACGAUUAAUUCAGUUUUGCAUAAUACGUUCCCCAUUCUUUAGUCAUUCUGGGUUGGUGGAACAAGAUUCACUUUGUCAUUUUCUGCACAAGAGGACUAAGUAUUGUAAUGUACUAGUCUAAUCAGGUUGAGCGCAGUGUUUGAAUCGAAUUUUAAACACGCUCUGUGUCUUAAACUAUUUCUUUGUUGAAUUUUAACUAAUAUGCAAAUUUAUACCAAAUAACUAAGAAAUUAGUCUCUGACUUCGUUGAAUAUUUCACCUGUGUAUAACCCAUGCACUAAAACCUCAAUUUGGACAACCGAAACUUCGUCUUAAAUAUAGAUGUCGUAAAAACAUUUUAUCUUUUAUUUUUUCUGGUUUAUUUUCAUCAUUUCCUGAAAUGAUCAUUAGAGUUUUAAAGAAACAUUUCUUUCUCAACCCUGCUGCAAUUAUAUUUCGCAAAGGAAAUUGAAUUGCCGAUUAUAAUUUAAGUUUAACACCUUGGUGAAAGAUAUUCAGACAUUCUACUUUGAAAAGAAAAUAGAAAUGAAGUGGAAGAAUACAACUUCCAUCGUUGCCGACAGCAUCUCCAGGAAGUAACUGCUAAAAGAAAUAUGGUAGAACAUCUAUCUUAAAGAAGUAGAAUUUCAGAAGGAGAAAAUAUAGCCAUGAAUGGAAAAACAGGCAAUUCUGGAAAAGAGCUGCAGAUGUCCUUGCUGAACGACCAACGGGACAAAUGUCUACGAUCCAUGCAGAAUACCUUCUCUCAAGAAGAUAAAGGUUUGUUCUGCCCACAAACAUGGGAUGAAGCUUACUGCUGGCCGAAAACAGCAACCAACACUUUAGCCAUAAAACCCUGCCCGGAUUAUAUAUUCGGAUUCAAUCCGAAAGCCUUGGCCAGCAAAUUCUGCUCAGAAGAUGGCACCUGGUGGAGAGAUCCUGUAACUAACAACACUUGGACGAACUACACUUUAUGUGUCCUCAGCCAGCAGCCAAGAGACGAGUCUGGUUACACUGUUCAUACUCCAGUCAUCAAAGCUAUUUCCCAAGCUGGAUACUCCAUCUCCCUCACCUUACUAGUCAUAGCAUGCCUCCUUUUGGCCACUGUUAAGCGUCUUCGCUGCCCUCGGAACAAUCUGCACCUGCAGCUGUUCGCCUCCUUCAUCCUGCGAGCUUCAGCAUCGCUUUUUAGGGACAUCGCCUCCAGGAACAAACUGGAACAGGACAGUAUCGUCUGCAAGAGUCUGACGAGUAUCUGGCAGUACUGCCUAGCCGCCAAUUACUGCUGGAUUUUAAUGGAAGGACUAUAUCUCCACAACCUGGUAUUCCUCUCCAUGUUCACAGACACGACAGGCAUCCUCAAAUAUGGCCUGAUGGGUUGGGGCUUGCCUCUCUUGUUCGUCAUUCCAUGGAUUGUAGUGAAAGCGACCCUCGAAGAUAACGAGUGCUGGACAGUUAAUGUAAACCCAUAUUAUUUCUGGAUCAUUCGUGGGCCCAUUACUGCAUCAAUAGUGCUGAACUUACUCUUCUUCAUCAACAUCACGAGAGUUCUUUUCUUGAAAAUGUUUUCAUCGCAAGCCAUUCAGAGCCGUCGAUAUAGAUACAGAAAAUGGUUCAAAUCCACUCUAGUGCUGGUUCCUUUGUUUGGAGUCCAUUACGCACUGCUGCUGACCGUCAGCUUGCCUGCUAGUGUCAACCAGACAUUGGAGAUUGUUUGGCUCUACAUUGACCAAACAUUCUCUUCAUUCCAGGGUUCUUUCGUGGCAUUCCUGUAUUGUUUCUUAAAUGGAGAGGUACAGAGUGAGGUAAGGAAGGGCAUCGAACGACUAAGAGAAAAAGAUGGCCAACACCCUCAGCAUUCUCUCAUCACACAGUCCCUCACCUACCUGAGCAAAGGAAGAUCCUCCGUGCAGUCUCUUCACACGGCCCCAGAAAGAAAGGAAAACUGGAAAAACGGUGACUUGCCCCUAACCUUACAAAAUGCGGCUCACGACAAAGAUGACUGGGCUAUGUCUGCGGAUCGGCAACUUCUGAAUGAGAGUCUGCUGUAGAGGAAUGUACUUAAAAUGGAAUCAUCCAAAAUAUUGGUUCUUGUUUGUCUUCUGAGGAACUCCUUUCGUAUAACGACAGGAAAGAUACUUUCACAGAAAGUCGACGGAAUAGUGUCGCCUUUGCUACGUAUCUUUGGAAAGAAUAGUAUCACAUUUUCUAACUACCCGUGGAAAGAAAAUUAUUAUUCUUACAAAAGCUGUUCAGCAGCGCCAUGUUUGCUGCUAAACCUCUUGACGGAGCAGUGAUCCUCUUGCAAAUAAUCUGUCGAAUAAACUUUGUAUUGCUUUUACUUUAAUUUUGAUUUGUGCCUUUCCUGUUAGAAAGUAAGUCCUUUCAUGAAUUUAUUUUAAUUUAAUUAUUACCUCUUGAUUAUUCAAUUAAUUCUGCAGCUUACUGAGCAAAUUUAAUAAUAUAUAUCACCAUAAUUGGAAAUUUCUCAACUUUUGAUUAUAUGUAUAUAAUAAUAAGUAUGAUAUAAAUGAAAAAUUUCUAUGAUAAUUGAGACAAAAAAUUAUUUUGUUAUUUAGUAAAAUUUAAAAUUUAUUAAAUUUGUGUCAUUGUUCAAAAACAAGCUGAUUCAUUUACUUCUGCCGAUACACGAACCCCCGACGACGAUGUCUGAGAGAUGUAAAUUAUUGAUUAUUUGCACAUUCUUUAUGAUUUUUAUAUGUUUUCAUUAACUUUUGCAUUAUACAUCUUACACUGUAUACAUUUUGCAAUACUUUUUGCAUUAUUUUUAUGCAUUUAUACACUAUUGAUCUCAAUGCUGGGCACGUUUAUUUUUUCACAGUGGCUUAAUACAUAUACACACAAUUUUAUUUUUAUUUUUUAGUUUUCCAACUCUUUAGUGUAGUGUGAAUACGGACUGGGUUUAAAUAUGAUUUAAUUUUUCAAUACAUAUAGAUACAACUUUAGACUGGUUAAACGUAUCCCGAAAUCACCUACAAAAUGUUUUCAGUUGGUCAGUUGGAGAAGCUCAGUAACAGCUGCUGAAUGAUUAAGACUGCUGAGCAUUGAACUUGAACAAAAAUUGAAACCUUAGUUUCAGAUCUUCGUGAGUGGGUUGACUAUAUGAGUUUGUGAUUUUUCUGACGCAUAACUUGCAUAUGAGCCAGUUUUUCUUGAGAAGUCCUUUACGAAGUCAUAUCUCCAUUUAGGCAAGUAGCCACAGUUUGCUUUGCCCUAAUCAAAUAAUCCAAUUCAUUCUUCAGCUUUUUAAAUUUGCAUACUUUGGUUAAUAAUCUUGAUUUCAAUGUAGCAUUAAACAAUAUUCUCAAACUUUUAGCACCCCUUAUUAUUAUUUGCAUCAGUUUGCCGCAGCAUCGGCCAGGUGAUACUACUAGUUCAACCUGAGUUCAAAUCCCAGAGAAAUAGCUUACUCGCGUUGGACGAUUCGCUCUGGAGCUCAUUCAAAAAACCCAUUCACUUUACUGCGCGAAUUUACUCCGAUUCGACGAAACGGAGUUCCAGCUUAUUACAGUCCACGCAGAGCUUUACUGGACGAGCUUAUGCCUGACUGGGAAAAAAAAAACGGAGCUGUUAUUGAAAGCGUGCCAGGAAAGUUCACUUUCCAUUUUAGAGGACAGAAAGAAUGUUUAUUCGUGUUAAAUGCGAGUUCAAUUUUUAUCUCUUUCUAACUCUUUGAAAUAUUUUAUUGUUAGUUCUGUGUAAGGAGGUUUAGGAAAUCUUCAAAACUAAGGUUGAAAGAAGUUCAAAGAGUUAGCGUUUCAGUCAGUUCUUCUGAUCUCCCUUUUCUUCCAUUCUCUACCCAUACUCUUUGCUCUAGUCUUGUUAAUCCUCGUUAGCAGUCCACAUCGCUAGCAGGGAAAUUAUUGGAUCCCACUGUUUGUUCGAUUCUUUCCACCGUUUGCUCCAUCUCGCAAACCGCUCUUGAUUCACCAGUCGUUCCGGAUUUGUUUCAUCAAGGUUAUUCUUAGAGACGUGAGUCAUAAAAUGAACCCGAUUCAUUUCAAUUAGCAAACCGUUCUGAUCCGAUCCUGUAAAAGAGUGCUUGUGCGAUCAAUAUAUCUGACUGCAUUCUUUUUCUCAUAGUUAUCUUAUGUGUAACGUAAAUAGAAGUUUUUUUAGCAGAAAAAAGUCUUCAGAGAAGGCCUCUUUUCUUUCAGGCAUAUAUCUGCAGAACCAAAUAAUUCAUUUAAAAUACAUGCUACACUAUGUUUAUAUUUUCGUUUAAUUUUACAUUUUACACUUUCUCUUCGAUAAGCCUGUGGAAUGCUUCUGCCUAGAAUAUUCCAGCGCGACCGCAAGUUAAAACUACUUUGCUAUGAUUAUUCUGUGGUUUGAUCAGAAGGAGUUAAAUUUGAAAUUUUAAAUAUAAUUUUUGAUUCAUUGCUUUAAAUUAUUCACUUCUUAUGACUCUUAGGGUAACGGAUAAAAUGUUUUAAAGUCUUUUGUGUUUGCUGGCAAUAAUUGUUGAUAUUAAAAAUAUU
rnacentral:misc_RNA from 1 species